CCCCUCAUAGCUCAAUGGUUAGAGCGUUCGGCUGUAGAAAACAUUUGACUAUGCCUUUGGCAAUGAAUGAAAAAUGUUCAGCCGUCACCGAAAGGUUCCCGGUUCGAGAUUUAUUUGACGAAAAUCUGGGUGAGGGGA
rnacentral:tRNA from 1 species